rnacentral:lncRNA from 1 species
GACAGGAGGGAAGAUGAUGGGUAGGAAAGAGCCGUUCCUGGAAACAAAGUAGCUGUCAUUCAUUUUAACCAAAAGAAUGGAGUGUUUGGUAUUUGAGGGGUGGCGCAGUGACCUUUUUUUUUUCCCCUGUACUUAGAAAACAAUUAUGAAUUGCCAUCAUUUUGUCUCACUUUAUCAUGCUCUCCAAGUAAUCUUACUUGGUGUUGGUAUUCUCUUGAUACUUCUUAGUAUUUAUGACCAGGCUCACUAGUGGAUAGCAGCAAGGCUGUUGUUUUUGUCUUUGUUUUCUCCUCACAAGGAACAUGAAGCAUGAGGGAGGCUUUUAGCUUGAAUUGGAAGACAUCCUUCUAGAAUGUUAGCAAUCAGUGAAAAAGUACAGGUCUUCUAGGCACACCCACUCCAUGUAUGAAGAAGAAAUGUGAACAGAAGAAGCACAUUCAGCUCAUUGCUGGCUUGCAUGUAUUUUCUAAGAUUUGUUUAAACGCCUCUACUCUCAAGUUUUAUAUUUGUUGUAUUUUGAUGUAAAAUUCAUAAAUGUUAAAAACACCAGUCAGAUUUCAGUUCAUCCAUCCUCCUGUAAGGAUUGUCUCAGACUGAAACUGUGGAUUCUCUUGACUUAGGAUUUAAACCCCUAUCACUCCCCCUCCCAGCUCGAUUGAUUAGGAAACUGGUGCAGUGAUAUCGGAGUGGAAUGAGAGAAAACCAAGAAGUCAUCCAUUACAAAAACUGUCCAUAAAGUCUGCUCCUAAUUUGAAUACAAAAUGUUUUAACAAGCAAGAAUUUAACCACUGCUGGAGUUCCCUUGUCAGUGCAGUGGAAAUGAAUCCAACUAAAAAGUAUGUGGUUGCGGGUUCAAUCCCUGGCCUCCAUCAGUGGGUUAAGGAUCUGGUAUUGCCAUGAGCCGUGGUGUAGGUCACAGACUUGGCUCGAAUCUGAUGUGGCUGUGGUGUAGGCCGGCAGCUGUAGCUCUGAUUGGACCCCUAACCUGGAAACCUCCAUAUGCUGCAGGUGUGGCCCUU